CCUACGGGUGGCAGCAGUGGGGAAUAUUGCACAAUGGGGGAAACCCUGAUGCAGCGACGCCGCGUGAGUGAAGAAGUAUCUCGGUAUGUAAAGCUCUAUCAGCAGGGAAGAAAGUGACGGUACCUUAGGAAUAAGCCUCGGCUAACUACGUGCCAGCAGCCGCGGUAAUACGUAGGAGGCAAGCGUUAUCCGGAAUGACUGGGCGUAAAGGGUGCGUAGGUGGUUCAGCAAGUUAGUAGCGUAAUUCCGGAGCUCAACUUCGGCACUACUACUAAAACUGUUGGACUUGAGUGCAGGAGGGGCAACUGGAAUUUCUAGUGUAGCGGUGGAAUGCGUAGAUAUUAGGAAGAACACCGGUGGCGAAGGCGAGUUGCUGGACUGUAACUGACACUGAGGCACGAAAGCGUGGGGAGCAAACAGGAUUAGAUACCCGGGUAGUC
rnacentral:rRNA from 1 species